rnacentral:rRNA from 1 species
CUACGUGCCAGCAGCCGCGGUAAUACGGAAGGUCCAGGCGUUAUCCGGAUUUAUUGGGUUUAAAGGGAGUGUAGGCGGUCUGUUAAGCGUGUUGUGAAAUUUAGGUGCUCAACAUCUACCUUGCAGCGCGAACUGGCGGACUUGAGUGCACGCAACGUAUGCGGAAUUCAUGGUGUAGCGGUGAAAUGCUUAGAUAUCAUGACGAACUCCGAUUGCGAAGGCAGCGUACGGGAGUGUUACUGACGCUUAAGCUCGAAGGUGCGGGUAUCGAACAGGAUUAGAUACCCUGGUAGUCCGCACGGUAAACGAUGGAUGCCCGCUGUUAGCGCCUGGCGUUAGCGGCUAAGCGAAAGCAUUAAGCAUCCCACCUGGGGAGUACGCCGGCAACGGUGAAACUCAAAGGAAUUGACGGGGGCCCGCACAAGCGGAGGAACAUGUGGUUUAAUUCGAUGAUACGCGAGGAACCUUACCCGGGCUUGAAUUGCAGACGC